CCAUCAUUCUGUCUACUUUCAGAAUCUUCAUUAUCCUCCGAAGCGCCAGUUUUUUCCACCAUGGGUUCAGGUGAUACCUCAGUCGAAAUUCCACCAUGCUCUUCAUCUGAUGAAGGUUGUUCUGGAGAUUUAGAGUCUCCCAAUUCUUCUGUGACACUGUCAUCCCCUUUAUGCCCCAUGAAGGCCAUGACUGGAUCAAAAAGAGCUUUCCUAUCUGAAGCUGAUGGCCAUAUUCCAGAAGUGGUAGCUUCGCCGGAAUCCGGCCUCUCCUCCAAUCCAAGCGCGCUAUCAAAA
rnacentral:misc_RNA from 1 species